rnacentral:miRNA from 1 species
UGGUUUACUUACUACAUGUCCCAGGAUGCAUUUCGGGUUUUUGCUUAACUCCGGAUUAGAGCGUUGCAUGCUGGGACCUGUAGUUGAUUUAAACAGCA